UACGGGGGGGGCCAGCGUUGUUCGGAAUUACUGGGCGUAAAGGGUUCGUAGGUGGCCAACUAAGUCAGACGUGAAAUCCCUCAGCUUAACUGGGGAACUGCGUCUGAUACUGGUCGGCUUGAGUGCAGGAGAGGAACGCGGAAUUCCAGGUGUAGCGGUGAAAUGCGUAGAUAUCUGGAGGAACACCAAUAGCGAAGGCAGCUCGCUGGGACGUUACUGACACUGAGGCGCGAAAGCGUGGGGAGCGAACAGG
rnacentral:rRNA from 1 species